CCUAAAGACGCAGGGAUACUGAGAGAGGAGAGAGCGGGCUGUUGAGGGCAGUAGGCAAGAGAGAGUCGGCACCCCCUCCUAAAGACGCAGGGGUACUGAGAGAGGAGAGAGCGGGCUGUUGAGGGCAGUAGGCAAGAGAGAGUCGGCACCCCCCUCCUAAAGACGCAGGGGUACUGAGAGAGGAGAGAGCGGGCUGUUGAGGUCAGUAGGCAGGAGAGAGUCAGAGAGUGAGAGUGGAGUCGUUUUGCUGUGGCUCCUCAGUAAAGCCAAGUUGGAGACAGAAGGCAUUGUAUUGACAGCAGCAUGAUCCUUAUCACAUUUGGACUCUACCUUCCACUAUUGUUUUGUUAUGUCUUGUCUCAGUCCUCUUUCCUGGACAAUAUUCUCUCAUUCCCAGCAGCUCUCCAACAACAACCUGCCGUGGACCAGCAGAGGAAAUUCAACCCCUGUUGUUUACUGAGUCCACCCCCGCCCCCCCUAUUCCCUCCUCCUCCCUCACUGUGGCAUCCCAGUGGUCAUAAUGAGGAGACCAGUAAGGGAGGUAAUCACAGACCAGAUCCAGAUACAGGGACGGAGCUGAAAGGGCCCAGCUGUGUCCCAGGCCCCCCUGGCCCCAACGGACCCCCCGGGCCUCAGGGUCCAGCUGGGCUACCAGGUCUGACGGGACCAAAAGGUGAAAAGG